rnacentral:piRNA from 1 species
UGCAGAAGGUUGCCCUUAGUGGAGAA